rnacentral:rRNA from 1 species
GAUGAACGCUGGCGGUGUGCCUAAUACAUGCAAGUCAAGCGAACAGACGAGGAGCUUGCUCCUCUGACGUUAGCGGCGGACGGGUGAGUAACACGUGGAUAACCUACCUAUAAGACUGGGAUAACUUCGGGAAACCGGAGCUAAUACCGGAUAAUAUAUUGAACCGCAUGGUUCAAUAGUGAAAGACGGUUUUGCUGUCACUUAUAGAUGGAUCCGCGCCGCGUUAGCUAGUUGGUAAGGUAACGGCUUACCAGGGAAACGAUGCGUAGCCGACCUGAGAGGUGAUCGGCCACACUGGAACUGAGACACGGUCCAGACUCCUACGGGAGGCAGCAGUAGGGAAUCUUCCGCAAUGGGCGAAAGCCUGACGGAGCAACGCCGCGUGAGUGAUGAAGGUCUUCGGAUCGUAAAACUCUGUUAUUAGGGAAGAACAAAUGUGUAAGCAACUAUGCACGUCUUGACGGUACCUAAUCAGAAAGCCACGGCUAACUACGUG